rnacentral:rRNA from 1 species
UACGUAGGGGGCUAGCGUUGUCCGGAAUCAUUGGGCGUAAAGAGCGUGUAGGCGGCUCGAUAAGUCCGCUGUGAAAGUCCAGGGCUCAACCCUGGGAUGCCGGUGGAUACUGUCGGGCUCGAGUCCGGAAGAGGCGAGUGGAAUUCCUGGUGUAGCGGUGAAAUGCGCAGAUAUCAGGAGGAACACCAAUGGCGAAGGCAGCUCGCUGGGACGUUACUGACGCUGAGACGCGAAAGCGUGGGGAGCAAACAGG